GAUGAACGCUGGCGGCGUGCCUAAUACAUGCAAGUCGAGCGAACGGACGAGAAGCUUGCUUCUCUGAUGUUAGCGGCGGACGGGUGAGUAACACGUGGAUAACCUACCUAUAAGACUGGGAUAACUUCGGGAAACCGGAGCUAAUACCGGAUAAUAUUUUGAACCGCAUGGUUCAAAAGUGAAAGACGGUCUUGCUGUCACUUAUAGAUGGAUCCGCGCUGCAUUAGCUAGUUGGUAAGGUAACGGCUUACCAAGGCAACGAUGCAUAGCCGACCUGAGAGGGUGAUCGGCCACACUGGAACUGAGACACGGUCCAGACUCCUACGGGAGGCAGCAGUAGGGAAUCUUCCGCAAUGGGCGAGAGCCUGACGGAGCAACGCCGCGUGAAUGAUGAAGGUCUUCGGAUCGUAAAACUCUGUUAUUAGGGAAGAACAUAUGUGUAAGUAACUGUGCACAUCUUGACGGUACCUAAUCAGAAAGCCACGGCUAACUACGUG
rnacentral:rRNA from 1 species